CCGCAGCCGGAGAGAGGCAGCCUGUCCCGGCUGACAGACAGUCGGACCCCCGCUGUUAGCAGUUAGCUCUGUUAGCUCUCAAGGACAGUUAUUUAUAAACGGGUGCUAGUCCGCUAACGCUAGCUUGGUAGCUAACAGAGCUAGCUGCUGUUUGUUUGCUUCUUGCUUCAGUUUUAAUGCGUCAAUAUACUUUAAUUAAUUAUACUUAUAUAAUGCUAUAAUUAUCUUAUUAUAGUUCUUCCACCUUCUUCUAAAAUAUGUGUAUAAAAUUAAAAAUAUAGACCUUUAUUUGGACUUCUGUAACCCACAUUAUCAGCACUCAUUACACCAGUUAUAUUCAUUAAUGUUUAAUUUAUUUAUCUGAUUAUAUAACUCAUAUAUCACUAAUGUGUUAGUUAAUGACAGACAGUCAGUGAGUGUGUCUGUGUCCAACUCUUCCUCACAGGUUAGUUAAUGACAGACAGUCAGUGAGUGUGUCUGUGUCCAACUCUUCCUCACAGGUUAGUUAAUGACAGACAGUCAGUGAGUGUGUCUGUGUCCAACUCUUCCUCACAGGUUAGUUAAUGAUGUUACUGAGUCAAUGUGAGCAGAUUGUGUCUGUAGACUGAAGAGAAUCAGAGUCUCUCUGAUGGUGGAAAUAAAGGUUUUACUUCCUUAAAACA